rnacentral:lncRNA from 1 species
UGUAAGGUACCGAACUUCUAAAAUCAUGAAGUUACGUUGUCCAUUUGGUUGGAGAGCCAUUUGAAUGGUUCCGGUAAAGUUGCGGUGUAAUGUAAUAUACCGGAUUUAAAUAUAAAAAUAAAAAUAAAUAAAAAUAGUAUGAGAUACUAUUUUUAUUGGAUUUGGAGAAGUAAAAUAUGAGUUAGAAAUGACUUGUGCUGAAAUUGGAAUGAAAACAGAAGAUUUAGAAUUUUCUGUGAGAGACGGGGCAGAUAAAUUAGCAGAAAAUGCACAGUCUCAGAAAAUUAUGAAAAUUGGAGGACAAGUCAGAAAUAUUUUUAUGAGGCUAGAUUUAAGGUUUCAUAUUUUUCUGACACCCGUAGAGUGAGAAAUAAAAUCCGACAGUUAUCUGAUAAAGAUUACAGUUCGGUACAGUUUUCAGUGACCAAACGGGGUCGAAACUGAAAAGUUAAGAUAUAUUCUUACUCAGUACGUUAAACUGAGUCUACCUGUCAAAUUUGAGCUCAAUCGGACAUUCAGAAGGGUUCCGAUGGAACUUAUCAGAUUUGAGGGACUAAACUGAAAAGUGGAAUAGUUGAGGGGGCUGCUUGUGGAAAAGAGCAUUGCUCUUCUUCUCCUCCCUCAACCUGCGUACACAACCAGCCCCAAACCGACACACCCACACACGCAUGGAUAGGAGAAGAGAACCCUCUCUUUCUCUCUCUAAAUCUCUCCCAAAAUUAAGGGAAUUAGUGGAGAUUGAAGCUUGGAGGUGAAUCGUCAUCAUCUUCUUCAUCUUCUCCAUGGAUUGAAGCUAGUUUUGAGGUAAGCUUUUGCUACCCUUUAAUGGUAGAUCUCUAGAUAUGGGGUUUUGAUCUCUAGAAAUGGAUUUAGAGCUAUUCUAGCAUGCUAAAUAGACACUUGAAUACCGUAUAGCCACAUGGAAUUGUGGACAAUACUCUUUUGAGAAUUGGAAGUCGAGAUAUGCCGGGGUAGGCCAUCUCGUGGUAGAGCAAGGUCCGAAUAUGGUUAGAACACUCGCGAUUGGGUGAUGCACCAAUGAUAUUGCUUUUGAGCAAUGUUGGUAGUCGAAUCGCAAUGCCCCGAGGGGGGAAAAGCAAAUGCAAAGAAGAGUUCUUGCAUGCCGAAUGGUGAGUGAUGUUGGAACGCGUAGAGUCGUUGAGCUUCGACUUGCGUAACCACCAAGAAUGACGGAGACCCGUAAUGCACUUUCGGAGUUACGCUUAGCGAAUGUGAGUGAAUCUGGUCUCACAUCCUCCUUAAUGGACCUCUAAGUUGUUCCAAUAAGUGAAAGACCGCUCCGAGAUGCGAAAGUGCAUUGGAACCCUCGAUUACUCGAUGAGUUAAAUUGAGGUGUGAGUUGGAGAUGGAGUUGAUUGAGUUUCGAGGACGAAACUCUUAUUAAGGAGGGGAGAAUGUAAGGUACCGAACUUCUAAAAUUAUGAAGUUACGUUGUCCAUUUGGUUGGAGAGCCAUUUGAAUGGUUCCGGUAAGGUUGCGGUGUAAUGUAAUAUACCGGAUUUAAAUAUAAAAAUAAAAAUAAAUAAAAAUAGUAUGAGAUACUAUUUUUAUUGGAUUUGGAGAAGUGAAAUAUGAGUUAGAAAUGACUUGUGCUGAAAUCGGAAUGAAAACAGAAGAUUUAGAAUUUUCUGUGAGAGACGGGGCAGAUAAAUUAGCAGAAAAUGCACAGUCUCAGAAAAUUAUGAAAAUUGGAGGACAAGUCAGAAAUAUUUUUAUGAGGCUAGAUUUAAGGUUUCAUAUUUUUCUGACACCCGUAGAGUGAGAAAUAAAAUCCGACAGUUAUCUGAUAAAGAUUACAGUUCGGUACAGUUUUCAGUGACCAAACGGGGUCGAAACUGAAAAGUUAAGAUAUAUUCUUACUCAGUACGUUAAACUGAGUCUGCCUGUCAAAUUUGAGCUCAAUCGGACAUUCAGAAGGGUUCCGAUGGAACUUAUCAGAUUUGAGGGACUAAACUGAAAAGUGGAAUAGUUGAGGGGGCUGCUUGUGGAAAAGAGCAUUGCUCUUCUUCUCCUCCCUCAACCUGCGUACACAACCAGCCCCAAACCGACACACCCACACACGCAUGGAUAGGAGAAGAGAACCCUCUCUUUCUCUCUCUAAAUCUCUCCCAAAAUUAAAGGAAUUAGUGGAGAUUGAAGCUUGGAGGUGAAUCGUCAUCAUCUUCUUCAUCUUCUCCAUGGAUUGAAGCUAGUUUUGAGGUAAGGUUUUGCUACCCUUUAAUGGUAGAUCUCUAGAUAUGGGGUUUUGAUCUCUAGAAAUGGAUUUAGAGCUAUUCUAGAAUGCUAAAUAGACGAUUGAUGCUUGAAUCAUAGAUCGAUUUAAUGAUUUAUUGCCUAGUUGUAACAUAGGGCUCUAAAAUGCAAGUUUUGCUACUAGUAGGGUUUGAUCUCAUUUAACCCUCUGUAAACCUAAUUGAUAGGUCACUGAACGCGUUGGAAGCGACGGUUCGGCGUUGGAAGCGACGGUUCGGCGAUUCGUCGAGCCGGUGCAAAGUUAUUAAAGAAACGGACGUUUAGGCUUCGUUUCCGCCUGGAGGGCCGAGGCGACGUCGUAAAAUCGUGGAAACGGAUUUGAAGCACCGUAGCGAGAAACCGAAGACCUAUAAUUUCCAGAUCGCGGAUCGGAGGUCGUUUGGUGGUCGCGCACCGAUUGGGUCGAGCCGAGCGGCGUGCGCCGCGGGAGGCCGAUUGCAAGUGACGACGAGCAAUCGGAACGCGGUAAAAGGUGGGGGAGUGCCAUCCCGAAGCAAUCGGGUUUCUCCUUAUGUCUAAGUAUUUCUAUGUUGAUCAAUUAUGCAUAUUGAGCAUGAUGCAUUAUAGGGUGAUAGUUGAUGGUUGGUUCUAUAUAUAUAUAUAUUGCAUGCUUCUUGAAAGAGUAAUGUAUUUGGCUUAGUGCUUAUAUCUAGCAUGCUUGAGGUUUAUAUAUGCGAUGUGAAACCCUAUAAGAAAUGAUAGGUGUAGAUGAGAACUUAGUAAUAUAUUGGCUAUUGCAUUGGAAACUUUAAACAUGU